rnacentral:sRNA from 1 species
ACUGGAUGUUGUGGCCCACGCCUGUAAUCCCAGCAGCUCAGGAGGUUGAGGCAGGAGGGUCAUGAGUUCAAAGCCAACCUCAGUAAAAAGCAAGGUGCUAAGCAACUCAUGAGACUCUGUCUCUA